GAGGGUAUAGCUCAGUGGCAGAGUGCCUGCUUAGCUUGCAUGAGGUCCUGGGUUCAAUCCUCAGGCCCUCC
rnacentral:tRNA from 1 species